rnacentral:rRNA from 1 species
CCUACGGGUGGCAGCAGUGAGGAAUAUUGGUCAAUGGGCGAGAGCCUGAACCAGCCAAGUCGCGUGAGGGAGUACUGCCCUAUGGGUUGUAAACCUCUUUUGUCGGGGAGCAAAAGCCGGACGUGUCCGGCUGUGAGAGUACCCGACGAAAAAGCAUCGGCUAACUCCGUGCCAGCAGCCGCGGUAAUACGGGGGCUGCGAGCGUUAUCCGGAUUUAUUGGGGUUAAAGGGUGCGCAGGCGGAUUUUUAAGUCAGCGGUAAAAUCGGGGGGCUCAACCCCAUCCAGCCGUUGAAACUGGGGAUCUUGAGUGUGCGAGAGGUAUGCGGAAUGCGUGGUGUAGCGGUGAAAUGCAUAGAUAUCACGCAGAACCCCGAUUGCGAAGGCAGCAUACUGGUGCACAACUGACGCUGAGGCACGAAAGCGUGGGUAUCGAACAGGAUUAGAUACCCGAGUAGUC